rnacentral:rRNA from 1 species
UACGAAGGGGGCUAGCGUUGUUCGGAAUUACUGGGCGUAAAGCGUGCGCAGGCGGCUCAUCAAGUCAGAGGUGAAAGCCCAGGGCUCAACCCUGGAACUGCCUUUGAAACUGUUGGGCUUGAGUACGGGAGAGGUGAGUGGAAUUCCGAGUGUAGAGGUGAAAUUCGUAGAUAUUCGGAAGAACACCAGUGGCGAAGGCGGCUUACUGGUCCGGUACUGACGCUGAGGUGCGAAAGUGCGGGGAUCAAACAGG